CCCGCUGAACUUAAGCAUAUCAAUAAGCGGAGGAGAAGAAAUUAACUAAGAUUGCCCUAGUAACGGCGAGUGAAGCGGCAAGAGCCCAAACUGGAAAUCUUGUACUUUCAGUACACGAAUUGUAAUCUAAAGGAUGCUUGCUCACCGGGCAGUGGCGCAGAAGUUCCCUCGAACGGGACGCCAGAGAGGGUGACAGCCCCGUAUGUGGUGCCAUUGCCUAACGAGUGGGUGUUCAAAGAGUCGGGUUGUUUUGUACUACAGCCCUAAGUGGGAGAUAAACUUCUUCUAAGGCUAAAUAUAUAUGGGAAACCGAUAGCGAACAAGUACUGUGAAGGAAAGAUGAAAAGAACUUUGAAAAGAGAGUCAAAAGACUUGAAAUCGUUGAGAAGGAAGCGGUAGAAAUUUAUCCUUCGGCGGAGGUCGGUGGUCCUUGCCUAACCAUUGCUGGCCGGCAGUACUGUCAUAAGACUGUGGUUAGUACCUGGGGAAGCGGCGCCUUGACCUCUGUCGUGAGGCAAAAUGAGGUCGUGUUCCCGCAUAGGCUUCUUACGCCUGGCCCGAUUCGUUGGGCAGCGUAGGUGUGCCGGCGGGCAUGCGGCCUGAGGAUGCUUUUGCGAUUUUGCCAAAAUGGUUUUUACCGACCCGUCUUGAAACACGG
rnacentral:rRNA from 1 species